GACGAACGCUGGCGGCGUGCUUAACACAUGCAAGUCGAACGGAAAGGCCCUGCUUUUGUGGGGUGCUCGAGUGGCGAACGGGUGAGUAACACGUGGGUAACCUGCCCUUGACUUUGGGAUAACUUCAGGAAACUGGGGCUAAUACCGGAUAGGAGCUCCUGCUGCAUGGUGGGGGUUGGAAAGGUUCGGCGGUUGGGGAUGGACUCGCGGCUUAUCAGCUUGUUGGUGGGGUAGUGGCCUACCAAGGCUUUGACGGGUAGCCGGCCUGGGAGGGUGACCGGCGACAUUGGGACUGGGAUACGGCCCAGACUCCUACGGGAGGCAGCAGUGGGGAAUAUUGCACAAUGGGCGGAAGCCGGAUGCAGCAACGCCGCGGGCGUGAUGACGGCCUUCGGGUUGUAAACCGCUUUCGCCUAUGACGAAGCGUGAGUGACGGUAAUGGGUAAAGAAGCACCGGCUAACUACGUG
rnacentral:rRNA from 1 species